UGUAAUCGUAACUUUUCCUUUAUCAGCCUUAAAAGGUUUCAUCUGAUAUGCCAUGGGAGUGAUUUCUUAAGCUUUUGGGAAGUAGUAUUCAUACUAACAGCAAUGAAUUGAGUCUAUUGUAAUUCCCUUGGGAUGCACGUCCUUCCUGGUUUGAUUUUGGUUUUUUUGAUUGAUUUUUCUUGGCAGGAAAAUACGGAGUCUUUGUCUGAUAAGGAGAAGACCUUGUUAUCCCUAGCAAAGAUGGGGUAUACGGUGGAAGAGGCGUCAAUAGCUAUGGAUAGAUGUGGUCCAGAUGCCUCAAUUGAUGAAAUAACAGAUUUUUUAUGUGCUGCUCAAAUGGCAAAGGCAGCAGAU